rnacentral:rRNA from 1 species
UCCUACGGGAGGCAGCAGUAGGGAAUCUUCCACAAUGGACGCAAGUCUGAUGGAGCAACGCCGCGUGAGUGAAGAAGGUUUUCGGAUCGUAAAGCUCUGUUGUUGGUGAAGAAAGAUAGUGAGAGUAACUGCUCAUUAUUUGCCGGUAAUCAACCAGAAAGUCACGGCUAACUACGUGCCAGCAGCCGCGGUAAU